rnacentral:rRNA from 1 species
GAUGAACGCUAGCUGGAGGCUUAAUACAUGCAAGUCGAGCGGGAUUGGGUAGCAAUACCCAUGAGAGCGGCGCACGGGUGAGUAACGCGUACACGACCUACCUCUAACAGGGGGAUAGCCCUGGGAAACUGGGAUUAAUACCGCAUAUUAUUCUGAAUAAUAAAGGUUUGGAAUGAAAGCUGAGGCGGUUAGAGAUGGGUGUGCGUCUGAUUAGCUAGUUGGUAGGGUAACGGCCUACCAAGGCGAUGAUCAGUAGGGGGCGUGAGAGCGUGGUCCCCCACACGGGUACUGAGACACGGACCCGACUCCUACGGAGGCAGCAGUAAGGAAUAUUGGUCAAUGGGCGAAAGCCUGAACCAGCCAUCCAGCGUGCAGGAAGAAGGCCCUAUGGGUUGUAAACUGCUUUUAUCAGGGAAGAAACCUCUGGAUUUACUCCGGAGCUGACGGUACCUGAAGAAUAAGCACCGGCUAACUCCGUGCCAGCCGCCGCGGUAAAAC